rnacentral:tRNA from 1 species
GAGCCGGUUCUCUGGAGAGGUGCUCGCUCUGCAAAAGCGUGUGAGAGGGUUCAAUUCCCUCCCGGCUCU